UGGGGAAUUUUGGACAAUGGGGGCAACCCUGAUCCAGCCAUUCCGCGUGAGUGAAGAAGGCCUUCGGGUUGUAAAGCUCUUUCAGCAGGAACGAAACGGUCGGCUUUAAUAAAGUCGGCUAAUGACGGUACCUGCAGAAGAAGCACCGGCUAACUACGUGCCAGCAGCCGCGGUAAUACGUAGGGUGCGAGCGUUAAUCGGAAUUACUGGGCGUAAAGCGUGCGCAGGCGGCGACAUAAGACAGAUGUGAAAUCCCCGGGCUCAACCUGGGAAUUGCAUUUGAGACUGCACGGCUAGAGUGUGUCAGAGGGGGGUAGAAUUCCACGUGUAGCAGUGAAAUGCGUAGAUAUGUGGAGGAAUACCGAUGGCGAAGGCAGCCCCCUGGGAUAACACUGACGCUCAUGCACGAAAGCGUGGGGAGCAAACAGGAUUAGAUACCCCCGUAGUCCCUGAGCGGGCUGGCAAGGCGCAU
rnacentral:rRNA from 1 species